GCUGCGUCUGGCUAACUGCUACAUUGAGCUGCGUUAAUUGAGGAACUUUUACCUUCAGUAGGUGUGCAUAACAGUUGAACAAAGCAGAUUGUGAGGACUUCUCUGGCAACAAAACUCACAGCAUGACCUUCAGACAGGGCACGUUCAUCUCUGGGAAACGAGGAAGCAACCUCAACCUCAAGGGGCUGCGUUCGACUUGAUCUGAGAAAUCCUUUGGAAGCUGUGAGGCAUGUGUGAUAUUUCAAGCCGCUGUGCCUAAGUGCUGUCUUCAUGUAUUUUGGAGUGCCGCACUUCCUUCGGAGUAAAACUUCAAAGUCCUUCUGAAGCUGCACGAAAUGGCAAAAUGUGAGAAGAAAUCCUCAUGCGUAAGAAAACAUGUAAGUAAUCAGAGUAAAUUAAAGUUAAUUUUGAAUGUAUUAGGUUCCCAUGCCCUUUGCUGGUUUCAAGAUUUAAGCUUGAGGCGUCAAUCACAGAAAUAGAUUUCCUCCAGAGGACAUCCUCCAUCUGUUAGAGUCUCAUGACGAUUGUGGUUGAAUUGUGAUUCUCAAGGAAAACAGUGCAAGAUUGAGCCGUCUUUUUGGUGGUCGGCUCGACUCAAACACCUUUAACACAGAAAAGGAAGGAGAGCCAAAAGCCGAGAGUAUAAACCUGUUCUACUGACACGUCUUCACACUUCCCUCCGGAAAUUAAUGCACAUGAACGCUUGCCAAGCACAGCAAGCUGUUGGUCCCGGCUCGGAGAUGGCUAGGGCCGACAACACAAACGCCAAAUGAAGUAGGUAAAGUCCAAACCCAUUACUAUUAGCUCCCAUAACACGAACCGAGUGAUUGCUUUCUGCAGUAAAACGCGACUCUGUGCCAAUACAAUCAGCAAGCAGAAAAUUGCUGGGAGGUAAGAGUCUCAUAAAUUGUCAUAUUGGGAGUCCAGUCUUGUCCAUGAGAAAUUAGAAUCUAUAUACACAGUAUAUAUAUGUAUGCAUGCCCAUACAUGCCAUGCAGGGUUUCAUUCCCAUGCACUCGGAGCCAUAUGCUUUGAAUUGUAACUCUAAUUGUUGCCGCCCCCUCUCAGCUCUUCUCAAGCCAGCCAGCCCAUGUGUUUUUAUAAGGAAUAUGUCAGACUUUGUACCGUGGAAACUGUUCUUUUCACUUCAGUUACUUAGCAACUAAAUGACAUAUCUCGCUAAAGAAAAAAAAACCUCAAUAGUGAGAAAAACUUCAGGACAUCACAGCGAUAAAUCUGGCCGACGUGUCCAAGGUGGGAGUGUCGUCCCUGAAAGUUCUUCCUCCCACAAUGGGCCAUUAGCGCUGUUAGCACAUCCUCCGUUGGUAAUGGGAGUCAUUAGAGCCAUCAAGAGUUGAAGGACAAGAAUGACAGCUGGGCUGCCAAAGUUUAAUUUUGGCUGCUUCGAAUGCCAUUCAUCCGGCUGCGUGUCGUGUCACAGACAAGUUUGCUCGCUGACAGUAACAGUCAGGAAGGUUGAAUGACUUUACUUGAGUGAAGGAAGUUGUACAACGAGUCUGUUACAGAGUGACUGACUGAGUGAUGAAGUUACAUGAUUGGUCGGCCGAGUGUUCCUCAUUGGCUGUUGCUCUUUCAAGAUGAAAAGGCGGGGAACUGUCCUAAUAUGUGAUGGAUAAACGGUUAUAAUAGUCAG